rnacentral:rRNA from 1 species
CCUACGGGAGGCAGCAGUGGGGAAUAUUGCACAAUGGGGGGAACCCUGAUGCAGCAACGCCGCGUGGGUGAAGAAGUACUUCAGUAUGUAAAGCCCUGUCAGCAGGGAAGAAAAUGACGGUACCUGACCAAGAAGCCCCGGCUAACUACGUGCCAGCAGCCGCGGUAAUACGUAGGGGGCAAGCGUUAUCCGGAUUUACUGGGUGUAAAGGGAGCGUAGACGGCAAGGCAAGUCUGGAGUGAAAGCCCGUGGCUCAACCACGGGACUGCUUUGGAAACUGUGUUGCUGGAGUGCAGGAGGGGUAAGCGGAAUUCCUAGUGUAGCGGUGAAAUGCUUAGAUAUCACGAAGAACUCCGAUUGCGAAGGCAGUUCACUGGACUGCAACUGACACUGAGGCUCGAAAGUGUGGGUAUCAAACAGGAUUAGAUACCCUGGUAGUC